UUUUCACAACAAAUUAAGCACGACACUGGUACAACCACGCUUCGUGCCAAAAUGUAUUGUGAUUUCUGAUAACAAGUGCAGUCGUGCUUGAAUAAGACGAUACAAUAUUGUUCCACUUGUCGUAUGAUAUCAGCACAAAAUAAAAAGACUAAUUGCUGGAGGAUUUACCGAUGAUGUUAUUGAGCUAAACUAUGAAUUCUAUUUCUAUAAGACACUUGCCCUCAUGAUCAUUCUUAGAGUUAUCAAAUGAUAAGAGAUUGUCAAAAUUAAAAUAACUCAUGAAUUUUUGUUAUCAAUUAGGGUUUUGCAAUAGCAAGCACUUUUAACCUCGACCAAACAAUGUUCCGUGUGCCGUCUCAUAACAACAAAGUAAGAAGUACCGAAUAACUAUAAUCUCAGGGCUAUACUUGUCUUUACAUAGUUAACCAAGAGAUCUUUACCAGACCCAACUGAUAUUAUUCCCUAGUAAAAAAGUUUUCUAGCAAUGCCAAAUCACAAGCUAACUGUGCACCUGGGAACUCAGACAACAACCAACAAUAGGCUGAUGGUCACCAAUUUGUUUGUCAGAAAGAUUUCGAAUGACGAGGUGGCAAGUCAUAAAAUGGAGGAAAUUCACAACAUACUUCCGUAGCUUUCUAUUGCCCUGACGCAAUGACACCAGUCGGUAUUAAUUCCACCUCUAUUUAGCAUUUGUAGACAAAGAUUGUUCAUACAAGGUAAACAAGGGAGAAGUUUUGUCUGCUGUGGAGUGUCAAUAAUGGAAACAAGGAUGAAAAAUAUAUAAACGAGACUAUGAGAAAUUAAAGAGGCCGUACUCGGCACGGUGAGACGCUGUGACAACAGAAGAAAUGUUCCUAAAAAUAUUUCCGGAGAGUUUGGUGGCGCUUUUUAUCAACAUGAUCCAUUGGGUGGAUAGAAUGAAAUGAAAGAUCAAUGAGUCGAGGUUGACACUGAUAUUUCGUCCUUUGAGUUCUGCCUUGCACCGUUUCUGUUGUUUAUUGUGUAGUGUCAAUGGCCACAACUUGAAGUUUCAACAAAUGACGUGAAGCUGAGCUGUUUGCUGUGUUGAAGAACAAGGAUUACAGUAACUGCGCUUCCACCUCUAUUUAGCAUUUGUAGACAAAGAUUGUUCAUACAACAGAUGUAAGCAGAAACACAAGACAUUCAAUGAUGAGGUGGAGCACUGAUGUGUUCAGUAACCUCAAGGAGUAUAUUCAAUGCAAUGCCAAGUUCUCAACACACAAGAAGAAACUCGUCAAGUCAACUCUGCAAGACAACGUCUGAAUUUCAUCCUCGCUGUUUGUGGAUCCAAAAGUUGUGAUCAAUGUUCUGAUGUCCAGCUAGAUUUUUAUUGUGUCUUGAAAAAAAAUUGUUUGAAUUUUUUCAACUUAGAUCAACUAACACCUUUACUUGUAAAAAUAUAUUGGCUAAAAUUAAAUUGAAGCAUUUCAUAGA
rnacentral:lncRNA from 1 species